rnacentral:lncRNA from 1 species
CUACCAUGCAUAUACGGAGCUGGUCAAUGGGCAGCCUCGCAAGGACUGUCAAACUAGUUGUGGCAAGGUCACAAUCGAGUACCCUUUUGGCACUUCUCCAGAUUGUUACUAUGCCGACGAUCCUAGUUUCAAUAUCACCUGUAACGAGAGAGAAGAGUUGAUCUUUGGUGGUAACAAAGUAAUCAACAUUUCUCACACGGAGCUACGCGUCUGGAAUGAUAUUUCUUACGCUUGCUACGAUAGCGGAGGAAAUGUGACUGAUGGGGUUUCCUACAGUUACUCGCUUGCUAACUUAUCUCUCUCCCGCAACAACAAGUUUACUUUAGUUGGCUAUAACGCUUUUGCACUUCUGAGCACUACUGGAGCGCGAGAUUACUCAACUGGAUGCUUGUCAGCAUGUGACUCUCCACCGGCGGGAAAUGGGGACUGUAAUGGUGAAGGUUGCUGCAGGACCGAUGUCUAUGUCCCUUUGGAUAGCAUUGGAUUCGAAACUCGCCCAUCUAGCUAUGGGAACAUGACUGUUAUGCAUGACUUUAAUCCUUGCAAAUACGCCUUUCUAGCCGAAAAUGGUACUUUUCACUUUAAUGCUUCGGAAGAUCUUAAGAACCUAAGAAAUGUCAAAGAGUUCCCUGUGUUACUGGAUUGGUCUAUUGGAAACCAGAGAUGCGAUCAAGUUGGAAACAGAAGCAUAUGCGGUAUGAAUAACAGCAUAUGUGUCAAUUCUACUCGUGGAACCGGGUAUAACUGCAAAUGUUUAGAAGGUUUUGAGGGGAAUCCUUACCUUUCAAAUGAAAAGGGUUGCCAAGGUACACUUCACGUUAAUUUAUUUUUUCUUUCUAUCGUCUUUCAACGGUUUAGUCGUACAUUUCUUGUUUCAUCCAACGGAUUAUUUACCUGUGUCAGACAUCAAUGAAUGUAAAAGUACUAUCCAUAAACAUAACUGCUCGGAUCCCAGCACCUGUAGAAACAAGGAUGGAGGCUUCUAUUGUAAGUGCCGAUCUGGUUACCGCUUAGAUACAAACACUAUGAGUUGCAAGCGUAAAGACUUUGGAUGGGCUACAAUUCUUCUUGGUAAGCUUCCCUCAUUUCUUUUCUGGACUUGUAGUUUCCAAGAUGUUAUCAUCUCUAUGUGUAUAUGAUCUCCUAAUGUUUAUAACCAGGCCUGGGCAAAAAAAAUUAAACCGAAAACCUUAACAAAAUUUACUGAAAUAACCGAAGCCAAAACCGGAUCAAAAUUUUUAAAUACCCAAAUGAUUCUUAUAUUUCUAUAUCUGAAAUAACCAAACCGAACUAGCAAGAACCAAACAAGACUCGAAUAUAUAAAUAUAUUAAUUAUAUAUACAAAUAACAUGACCAAAUAUAUAUAUAGUUUCAAAAUCUAUUAAAAGUGUAAGAAAGUAUUUGAAAAGCUUAAUUAUCAAAAAGCAUUGUAUCUAAACUUGUAUCUGAAAUUAUCUGAAAGUAUCAUAUAUUUUUAUCCAAAAUAAUCUGAAUUAUCUGAAGAUUUUUAUUCAAACAUCUAAUUAGACCAUACAUAUCCAAUAUAUUACUUGAACUAUCCAAAUUAACUGAAACUACCGAAUCGGAAUUGGAACCAAACAUGAACCCAAUUUUUACGUAUUAGAGUGCUCCUAAUUUAUUAUCCGAACCAAAAAUUUUCCGUUCCUAUAGGAACUACCCCAUAUACUUGACCCUAACUGGUAUCUGAAAUGCCCAAGCCGUUCCUAUUUAUAACUUUGGGGUCGUCCUGAACUUAAAAAGCCAUGUCUAUAGCUCCCCUCGCUAUUUCCUGAUUCUUUCUUUUACUGUGUGAUGUGAUCAGGAACAACCAUUGGGUUCUUGUCCAUCCUGCUUCUCAUUAGCUGCGUACAACAGAAAAUGAAGCACCGGAAGACAGCUGAGCUCCGACAAAAAUUCUUUGAACAAAAUGGUGGCGGCAUGUUAAUACAGAGACUCUCAGGACCAGGGACAUCUAAUGCUAAUGUAAAAAUCUUUACCGAAGAAGGCAUGAAGACAUCAACCAAUGGUUAUGACAAGAGCAGAAUCCUGGGCCAGGGAGGCCAAGGAACAGUCUACAAAGGGAUAUUACCUGACAACUCCAUAGUCGCAAUAAAGAAAGCUCGGCUUGGAGACAACAGCCAAGUAGAGCAGUUCAUCAACGAAGUGCUAGUGCUUUCCCAAAUCAACCACAGGAACGUGGUCAAGCUCCUAGGAUGUUGUCUGGAGACAGAAGUUCCCUUGCUGGUCUAUGAGUUCAUUAACAGCGGCACCCUUUUCGAUCACUUGCAUGGUUCCUUGUUUGGUCCUUCUCUAACAUGGGAACAACGCCUGAGAAUAGCAGUGGAAAUUGCUGGAACUCUUGCUUAUCUUCACUCAUCUGCUUCUAUUCCAAUCAUCCACCGAGACGUCAAGACUGCUAAUAUUCUCCUGGAUGAGAACUUAACUGCAAAGGUAGCUGACUUUGGUGCUUCAAGGCUGAUUCCAAUGGACAAGGAGCAGCUCACAACCAUGGUGCAAGGAACUCUAGGCUACUUAGAUCCAGAAUACUACAACACAGGGUUGUUGAAUGAAAAGAGUGAUGUCUAUAGCUUUGGGGUAGUCCUUAUGGAACUGCUCUCAGGCCAAAAGGCAUUGUGCUUCGAAAGGCCACUGCAGUCAAAACAUCUGGUGCAUUACAUUGCUUCUGCCAUGAAAGAGAAUAGGUUCCACGAGGUUAUUGACGAGAAAGUAAUCAACGAGAAUAACUGGAAGGAGAUAGAGGAAGCUGUCAGAGUUGCUAUGGAGUGUACAAGAAUGACGGGAGAGGAAAGGCCAUUGAUGACGGAAGUAGCUGCAAAGCUUGAGGGCUUGAGAGUCACGAAAAGCAAACAUCAGUGGUCGGAUCAGUAUCCUGGGGACGAGACUGAGAACUUGGUCGGUGUUGGAGUCUUAUCAGCGCAAGGCGAUACAAGUAGCACUGGCUAUGAUAGCAUCAAGAAUGUAGCAAGCAUGCACAUGGAAGCUGGUCGCUGAGAUAUAUUAGUCAAGGCUCUGUCAAAAUCAUGUCUAACUCUUUUUUUUUAAUGAAAAGAUAAUAUCAUUUCUAUAUAGUUUCUCACCUCUUUUGGCUCACUUAAACAGUUUAAAACUAGAGUAUCAAGACAAUAAUGAAGAACAUGUAUGCAUUGAGAUAUUCUUACUAGACAGACCAUCAGUACUUAUUUUACAGUGUCUAAGUUUAGAUUCCAAUAAACUCAACUCCUGGACUUUUGUGUCUAUUCAUACAUCUCUAUAGCUUUGAGUGAGUGCUACUAAGGAUCUGAAUAUUAGGCUCUAGAGAAAACAAUAAGUUACUAUUUUGGUUGAUUUGCCUCAAAAGUAUCUCAACUCAUCACCUCCUUUCUUCACGUUGCCCCUGGUCUUAGACCUGGGCUUCUGGAAAACUGGAUUUGCAAACUCUUGGAAUCAGGAUCCUCUUCAUCCAUUCGAUAGCCUGUCAAAUGCACAGUGGAAUCAGUUAAUUAUGAGGUCGAGUGUCUUUCUUAAGGAAACCACAGCAUGUUGAAUGAAGAUAAAGAGUAUAUUACAAGAAACAAUGCACCAUAAACUCAAUAUGUAUAAAACCUCAUAAUUCCAAAUAUUUAGGAAACAGAGAGAAUCUUAGUUACCUUGCAGGGCAUUUGAGUCUCGAAGCUCUAUUUUCUUGAAGGAGACUCAUGUGCUGAUUGGCCAUCACAGCUCCAUUGUCUGGUCGCUUGGUCACCAAUGGAGGGCUGAUCGAUCUCUAUAUUGUAGGUUUGGGCGAGCGGCUCAGGAUGUGACUAUCAUCGCUCCCUGUCUUCUUGCAUCUGCUCGCACUAUGUUCUGGAGCCAAGCAUAAGUGUGACUUUGGUGGUCCUGGAACGUCAAGCCAGAUUGGCGCUCUAGUGUGCUUGAUACAAGUAGAGGUUCUUAGCUCGGGUCUCAAGCUCCUUUACCAGUGGUAGUUGGCGGCUUGAUUCCUUCAGCCGGUCUAUGCAAAGCUGUGUGUGGUCGGUGUCAAUCUUUUGGAGUAGCGUUAUGGGCAAGCCGAUUUCUACCGAGCGUGGUCUCAUAUUUUAUCAAAAGCUCUGAACCCAUUCGGCAAUGCUGUAGUAUCUUUUGUGCUUGUGUUUAAAUGUUAAUGUUAUGUCUUCUGAUCUUCCAAUGUUGUUUCUUCUUUCUUCUUGGUGUUUAGGUUUUUGGUCUUUUUUGCUCCUAGUAUUUUUUGUAACUGCUAUCAAAAACUUAAAACUUUGAUAUAAAAUUUAACAUUUACAUCAAAAAAAAAAAAAUCAUGCACGACUCAAGUAGAAUAAAAAUAAGGUCGUCUUGACUUAUUAUGUCAAUUAUGUAACUCCCAUAUACUAGAGUUAGAAUUAAAGAAUUAUUACUUUGACCCGCGCGUGUGUUUAUUUUAUUUCUUAUAAAUGAAUAUUUAUUUGUAAAAGUAAUAGUAUAUAGUUUUAUAAUUUACAUGUAUUGAAUAAUUAUUAAUAUGACAUUUCUAAAUACAAUAAUUUAUCCUUUAUAUCGAGUAAUUCUUUUUUUUUUUGCAAACCGUCAAUUGUAUUAUACACAUUUUUAUGGAUCAAAAUUUAUAAUAAUGCAUAUUAGAAUUGUUUUGUAUACUAUUUAAAAUCUUGUGCUAUAUAUUUUAUACUCUUCAACAUUUAUCAAUUUACAUUUUGCUAUUAAUUUAUAUUUUAUUUAUAUAUCAUACGAUACUAAAAGUGAGAUAUAAUCCAUGGGGAGGUGUCCACGUCCUCAAAAAAAAAAUCUACCAAUCAGGGACAAGUAUUUUAACACGUCAUACAACUACAGAGAGAAUCAUACUAUACGAAGCAUCAAUCGGGUUCCACUUCGUCUUCACCAUCUAGGUUCUUCGUGAUGUCCGUUACGGUGAACUCAAUCAAUGGUGCUCUUUGAUUCCUUCUUAAUAGUUUCGUUCCACCUCCCUCUUUUUAUCCUCAUAGAUAUAUAUAUAUAUCGAUUGCUCAACAUCUUCGUCUAAACUUACUUGCAAGCAAACCCGAAAACCUCCAGUGAAGAAUUGAAAGCUCUGGCAAUAAAAUCCAAUCAAAAGUCUCAUGUCUCCACCGGCAAGUCUCUGUCGCUUUGUAUUUCAAGGAUAUCUCACCAUGUCCACCAGAAUACGAAUUAGGAUUUCGAAUCUAAAGUUAAGGCGAUGAUCAAUUUCUUUUUUUCUUCAAUGGUGUUGAUAACCCAAUCAAAGGGCGUCGCCUUUUAGUUUUGAUAUUGAUUCAUUUGAUCCAGUCUUACGGGUUCUUACAAUUUUUUGUUUUGUUUCGAUUAGGUUGAAGUGCGGUAGCGAUUGCUGUAAGGUGUGAAGAUAAGAUGGCUCUCUGAAUGAAAACAUGAAGAAGUGUCAAGUGGUAAGCUCCAGAAAGAAGACAAAAAGGUAUACACUUUUGGAUCAUCUUGUGCCUUUACAUGUUGGCUUUACUCAAGAAAAAGAGACUGUAAGUAUUGUAUAUAUAAAAUAACUUACGAACUUUGAACGUAUUGAACUUAGAAUAAAUACUUUCGCCUCUUAAGUUUUGAAUAAAUACUGGUUCUGAAAAGGAUUAAGAUUUGUCUAUCAACUGCAUCAGAUUUUGUACCCUUUUUACUUUUCUAAAAGCUAAGCCCAGCUCAGAAGGAUGGAAUCAUCGAGUGGAGGAAGAUGAGUGUCUUUCAGAGAAUGAGUGGGGGUUCGUGGGCUGUUCCAAGUUUCCAAAUAGUAAGCUGUAAGCAUAAACUCUUAAACUGCAAAGCGCUUUGGAUGGGGAAGGCCAUCUCUACGUACAAAGGAUUCAGGAGAGGUGUGUUUAAAGUCAUCUUAUUUUUCACACUUUUUAGUUUGCUAUGUUGACUUUCCAUAUCUAUGUAGCAGAUUGGUAGAAUACCUACUUAGUGGGCUCGGUGUCUUCUACCGCAUGUGAGAGACAAGAAGGUUAGGCUAGAAGGGAGAUGCAAGUCAACGCCUGAAGCAUUAGGCAUUACAGAUAUGAUUCUUCUUUCAGUAAGGUAUACAUUAAAAACUAUUGCGUUUGGAUUGAUUCUUCCGGGAUAGCUGCUUAGUUUUGAAGUGGUUUGUUUUUAUGCAGUGUGUACAUUAAUAGUUCCAUAUUUCAAAAGCAUAGUAUGACUUCACUUAGGGUAGCCAGUACGGCGGAUGAAUAAAUUUUGUAUCCUCUCCCACACUCCUUGCGGUUGCUCGGUUUGACACCCUUUAAACAGGUAAUGGAUUGUCCAUUACUGUAACUCUAAGAUUUUCUGAAUCUUUGACAGGUUGCAGUUCGCAAUUCCUAUAUACUUCCAUAUUUUGUUGUGAUUGCAAAUUUUUGAGAUGGCGAAGAAUUAUUACAGUUCAAAAGGAUCCACUUAUUUAACAACAAACAUGAGAAGGUCGACCAUAGUCCGUAGAAUAAAAGAUAAGUUACAAAAUACAUUUGACUUAUAAGAAUAGAGAAACAUGACAUGUCAUGUAAUUCAACUGACCUACUCUUUAGACCUGAAUAUGUUCAAGAAAUAUUACAAGGAUGUUGUACAGCUUGGGAGGAAGAGGAGAGCAAGAUACAAUAUAGUUAAGUUUAACUUUGAUAUAUUAUAGUUUAAAUAAGAAGAUGGUUUUCUAAAACAUAUUUUUACUCUUUGGUCACUGAAAAUAAAGAAAAGGCCGAUUUGAUUUUAUGCAUUGUAACAGUUUGAGUAAACCCAUAUGGUCAAGUGUCGUCUUGGAAGGAAAGCUAGGGUUUUCUUCAUCGCUUAAGACAGAUCUCAAGGAGGUUUUAUUAAAGAAUAAAAUAUGUAUUUAUAUCCUUACGAUUAACUAAUAUAGACGUACAAUUUGGAAUUAAAGGGUGAGUUUAGGGGAUGAGAUUUCAAAUUAAAAAAUAAAUAUUAUAAAUUUCAAAAUUAAAAAGGACCAUUUUGGUCAUUUUAUUUCUACAACUAUUUUUGUGAUAAAAACUUUAAAAAAAAACUAUUUACAAGAAUUGCCCAAAUAAUAAUAUUACAUAAUUUUUAAAAAUAAUCAUUAAAAUGAAAAAUACUAUUACAAAUCAUUGAAAAUGAAAGCAAAUGAAAAUUCAAAAUACAAAGCCAAUACUUUCGUGUAUUUAUGGCAAAAAAUUACUUCACUUCAAGUCCACUAAAGCCCAAAUACUACAAACUAGGUUAAGGUAGCAAGCAACAUAAAGUAGCUUGUUGAUACUGCGAUAGCUGAUGCAGCUGAAUCAACAAAAAAUUAAUUACAUUUUUUGAAUUUUUAUUUGUUUAAAAUUAUAGGAAAUAGAUAAUCACAGAAAAUUAUGCAUUUAAUAUUAAAAUUAAGUACUCCCUCCGUUACUUAAUGAUAGACUUUUUAGGAAAAAAGUUUGUUUCAAAAAGAUGUAUUUUUUGUGUUUUCUAUGAAAAAAUUGUAAACUUCAAGAAAAUUAAUUGAUUUUAUUGAAUUACUAUUAGUUAAAAGUUAUCGAAAAUUGAAAAUUACAGAAAACAAUAUAUUUAUUAUGGUAGUUUAAUGUGUGAAUAUACUAAAAAAUCUAUCGUUUAGGAACGGAGGAGUAUGUUCUAUUAAUUUGUGUGAAUAAACUAAAACAUGUAUAUUUUUGAAUUGGAUGGAAUAUCGUUUAUGUAUUUCUUAUCACCCCUUUCGUCCACCUAAACAGUUAAAAUCCAGAGUAUCAAGACAGCGAAGAACAUUUCUGCAUCGGUACCAAUCACAUAUUACUGUAUAACACAAUGACAACACCAACAAAAUACACGUGCGAAAAAUACUACUGAUAAAGUUAACAAAAAAAAAAAUACACUACGACAAAACAGCAUCACCACAGCAAAAUCACACGCAACAAAUAGCGCGCAAGCACGGACACGCCCUUAAUACAUAAAGUCUAAGCUCUUUUUUUUUAACACAAAGUCAAAGCUCUAAUCUAAAGAACACCUGCAAUGGUGUUAACCAAAGAAAAUUCUUUAAAAAAAGUGUAUUUUGAUUUUUUAAGUAUUUUUUUUUCUUUUUCAGAUAAAAAAAAAUAUAUCUAUCAACCAAUCGCGUAUCGCCCCGUGUCGUGGGGGUCUGCAAAUAGUGCAAAGAUUCGCUAAGAAAGAAUCUUUAUUUAUGAAUUUUAAUGAUUGAAUCCUUAGCUUUUGGUGGAGUCCAUUGAUUAUUUAAUUAUUUUUUUCCUAAGGACUCCCAAGACUCCCAUUGGACUCUCUAAACACAUAAAAAGACAUCUUGGAGAUCAAGGAAAUAUUAUCCUGCUUACGCAUAAAUAUCAUUGCCUACUUCUUUCUUUGAAAAUUUGUAAUCACUGAAAGAUAUUUUGUUUUUUUAAUAAAAAGUGUUAUUUUGAAAAAAAAAACUUUUAUAUAAGUUAUCAUUUUAAAUUUUAGCGAAAUUUAUACUUACUUUUAAUUUAAUAUCAAUUACAAAAUACAUUGAUCUUAUAAAUAAUUUUAUUUAUUUCAAAUAAAUUUUACGAAACAGAUGAAGUAGAAUAACUGGAGUUAUUUAACUUCAAACUAAUUACUCAUAUGGAAAAAGUCAACUUGCAAAGUAACAUUACAAUUAAUUACCCCUUGCUAUUCUAGCAGAAUCUGGACAAAAAAAAUAGAAAAAUAGAGAAAGUUGAAGAAAGAUUGACGAAAAUAUAGAAAGAAAAGGAGAAAAAAGUUUUCAUUUGAAAAACACAACCAAAAAAAAAAAAGAAAUAUUUUUACAGUAUCUGUCAGUUCAAUUUUUUUUAUGAUUUAAAAUUUUACUAUGAUCAAAUUAUGGACAAUUCUAAUAAAUAGAGCACAAAAAAUACUUAUUUUAUCACAAAAUAACAUUUUUUUAUCUAUUAAAUAGUUUGGUGGUUCUCUUACAAGUGGACAUACUCUAACAGAGAUGCGUUACGAUCGUGAGUCAUACAUAUGACGAUACGAUCAUGAGUCAUACAUAUGGCGAUAUGAAUAUUCCUGGUAAUCACCAAAGUCUUGGUCUUUUGUGUCCUACAAAACUAAAUGACAGAAACAAAGACUUCGGGGAUGCAAAACAAGUUGGUACAUUGAUUUGGUCUAUAGUUAAAUAAUAGUAUUAAGAGAUUGGGUCAAUGAAAACAAGCCAAAAGAGCAUCUCAAGACUGGAGGUUGGAGGAAACUUGCAGAGAGACAAAUUUUGAGAGAUAAAGAGAAGAGAGGUCGAAGAUGAAGGUGCAGCGUCUGAUCUUGGUGGCUGUUUUCUUCUACCUUGCAUGUACGGAGUUGGUCAACGGGCAACCUCGCAAGGAUUGCCAAACUAGAUGUGGCAACGUCACAAUUGAGUACCCUUUCGGCACUUCUCAAGGUUGUUACUAUGCUGACGACCCUAGUUUCAAUCUCACAUGUAACGAUAAAGAGAAGCUAUUCUUUCGAAAUAAUAUUGAAGUAAUCAACAUUUCUCAUAGCGGGGAGCUACGCGUCAUGACUAAUACUUCCUACGCUUGCUACGAUAGACAAGGAAAUUCGAAUGGUAGUCGUUACUACACUUACAGGCUGGGUAGUUUAUCUCUCUCCCACAAAAACAAGUUUAAUGUAGUAGGCUGUAACGCUGUAGCACUUCUGAGCACUUUUGGACCGCAAAAUUACUCAACUGGAUGUUUGUCAGCGUGUAACUUUCCACCGGUGGCAAAUGGAGACUGUAAUGGCGCAGGUUGCUGCAGGACAGAUGUCUCUGACCCGUAUGAUAGCUAUUCAUUCCAAACUCGCUCAUCUCGUUUGCAGAACAUGACUUCUGUGUAUGACUUUAAUCCUUGCACAUAUGCCUUUCUCGCUGAAAAUGGUACUUUUCACUUUGAUGCUUUGGAAGAUCUUAAGAACCUACGGAAUGUCAAUGAGUUCCCUCUGGUACUGGACUGGUCUAUCGGAAACCAGACAUGCGAGCAAGUUGGAAACAGAAGCAUAUGUGGUAUGUUUAACAGCACAUGUUUCAAUUCUACUCGUGGAACCGGGUAUAACUGCAAAUGUUUAGAUGGUUUUGAAGGAAAUCCUUACCUUUCAAAUGAACAUGGUUGCCAAGGUACACUUCAAAUUGGUCUUAUCUUAAUACUACUUUCUUUUUUUGAGAGUUCAUUGUUUUCCUGAUACAUCUCUUAUGCCUUUUCCCUUGUGCCAGACAUCAAUGAGUGUACUACUAAUAGUACUAUCCAUAAACAUAACUGCUCGGAUCCCAGCACCUGUAGAGACAAGGUUGGAGGCUUCGAUUGUAAGUGCCAGUCUGGUUACCGCUUAGAUACAACCACUAUGAAAUGCAAGCAUAAAGACUUUGGAUGGGCUACUAUUCUUCUUGGUAAGCAUCCUUCUGGACUUAUUGUUUCCCAGAUGUAAUCAUCUUUGUGUGUCUAAUCAUCUAUGUGUGAUGUGAUCAGGAACAACCAUCGGCUUCUUGUCCAUCCUGCUUAUCAUUAGCUGUGUACAACAGAGAAUGAAGCGCCGGAAGGCAGCUGAGCUCCGACAAAAAUUCUUCGAACAAAAUGGUGGCGGCAUGUUAGUACAGAGACUCUCAGGACCAGGGACAUCAAAUGCUAAUGUAAAAAUCUUUACGGAAGAAGGCAUGAAGACAUCAACCAAUGGCUACGACAAGAGCAGAAUCCUUGGCCAGGGAGGACAAGGAACCGUCUACAAAGGGAUAUUACCAGACAACUCCAUAGUUGCUAUAAAGAAAGCUCGGCUCGGAGACAACAGCCAAGUAGAGCAGUUCAUCAACGAGGUGCUAGUGCUUUCCCAAAUCAACCACAGGAACGUGGUCAAGCUCCUAGGAUGUUGUCUGGAGACAGAAGUUCCCUUGCUGGUCUAUGAGUUCAUUAACAGCGGCACCCUUUUCGAUCACUUGCAUGGUUCCUUGUUUGGUCCUUCUCUAACAUGGGAACAACGCCUGAGAAUAGCAGUGGAAAUUGCUGGAACUCUUGCUUAUCUUCACUCAUCUGCUUCUAUUCCAAUCAUCCACCGAGACGUCAAGACUGCUAAUAUUCUCCUGGAUGAGAACUUAACUGCAAAGGUAGCUGACUUUGGGGCUUCAAGACUAAUACCGAUGGAUAAAGAGCAGCUCACUACCAUGGUCCAAGGUACUAUAGGCUACUUAGACCCAGAAUAUUACCAUACAGGACUGUUAAACGAAAAGAGUGAUGUUUAUAGCUUUGGGGUAGUUGUCAUGGAACUUCUCACUGGCCAAAAGGCAUUGUGCUUCGAAAGGCCACAACAGUCAAAACAUCUUGUGAACUACAUUUCGUCUGCCAUGAAAGAGAACAGGUUGCACGAGGUUAUAGAUGCGAAAAUAAUCAACGAGAAUAGCUGGAAGGAGAUCAAUGAAGCUGUCAGAGUUGCUAUGGAGUGUACAAGAGUGACAGGAGAGGAAAGGCCACUGAUGACGGAAGUAGCUGCAAAGCUUGAGGGCUUGAGAGUCACAAAAGCCAAACAUCAGUGGUCAGAUCAGUAUCCUGGGGACGAGACUGAGAACUUGGUCGGUGUUGGAGUCUUAUCAGCGCAAGGCGAUACAAGUAGCACUGGCUAUGACAGCAUCAAGAAUGUAGCAAGCAUGCAAGUUGCAGCUGGUCGCUGAUAUCUAUUACUCAAGCCCCUGUCUCAAUCACGUUGAGUCUUUUUUUUUUUAAUGAAAAAAUAAUAUCAUUUCUAUAUAGUUUCUCACCUCUUUUGGCUCACUUAAACAGUUUAAAACUAGAGUAUCAAGACAAUAAUGAAGAACAUGUAUGCAUUGAGAUAUUCUUACUAGACAGACCAUCAGUACUUAUUUUACAGUGUCUAAGUUGAGAUUCCAAUAAACUCAACUCCUGGACUUUUGUGUCUAUUCAUACAUCUCUAUAGCUUUGAGUGAGUGCUACUAAGGAUCUGAAUAUUAGGCUCUAGAGAAAACAAUAAGUUACUAUUUUGGUUGAUUUGCCUCAAAAGUAUCUCAACUCAUCACCUCCUUUCUUCACGUUGCCCCUGGUCUUAGACCUGGGUUUCUGGAAAACUGGAUUUGCAAACUCUUGGAAUCAGGAUCCUCUUCAUCCAUUCGAUAGCCUGUCAAAUGCACAGUGGAAUCAGUUAAUUAUGAGGUCGAGUGUCUUUCUUAAGGAAACCACAGCAUGUUGAAUGAAGAUAAGAGUAUAUUACAAGAAACAAUGCACCAUAAACUCAAUAUGUAUAAGACCUCAUAAUUCCAAAUAUUUAGGAAACAGGGAGAAUCUUAGUUACCUUGCAGGGCAUUUGAGUCUCGAAGCUCUAUUUUCUUGAAGGAGACUAAUGUGCUGAUUGGCCAUCACAGCUCCAUUGUCUGGUCGCUUGGUCACCAAUGGAGGGCUGAUCGAUCUCUAUAUUGUAGGUUUGGGCGAGCGGCUCAGGAUGUGACUAUCAUCGCUCCCUGUCUUCUUGCAUCUGCUCGCACUAUGUUCUGGAGCCAAGCAUAAGUGUGACUUUGGUGGUCCUGGAACGUCAAGCCAGAUUGGCGCUCUAGUGUGCUUGAUACAAGUAGAGGUUCUUAGCUCGGGUCUCAAGCUCCUUUACCAGUGGUAGUUGGCGGCUUGAUUCCUUCAGCCGGUCUAUGCAAAGCUGUGUGUGGUCGGUGUCAAUCUUUUGGAGUAGCGUUAUGGGCAAGCCGAUUUCUACCGAGCGUGGUCUCAUAUUUUAUCAAAAGCUCUGAACCCAUUCGGCAAUGCUGUAGUAUCGAUCGGCCAGGCUAUACUUUUGCUAGUAUCUUUUGUGCUUGUGUUUAAAUGUUAAUGUUAUGUCUUCUGAUCUUCCAAUGUUGUUUCUUCUUUCUUCUUGGUGUUUAGGUUUUUGGUCAUUUUUGCUUCUAGUAUUCUUUGUAACUGCUAUCAAAAACUUAAAACUUUGAUAUAAAUUUAACAUUUACAUCAAAAGAAAAAAAAAAAUCAUGCACGACUCAUGUAGAAUAAAGAUAAGGUCGUCUUGACUUAUUAUGUAACUCCGAUCUACUAGAGUUAGAAUUAAAGAAUUACUAGACCUUGACCCGCGCGAGUGUUUAUUUUUAUUUUUUAUAAAUAAAUAUUUAUUUGUAUAAGUAAUAGUAUAUAGUUUUAUAAUUUACAUGUAUUAAAUAAUUAUUAAUAUUAAAUUUCUAAAUACAAUAAUUUAUCCUUUAUAUUGAGUAAUUUAUUUUGUUUUACAAACCGUCAAUUGUAUUAUCCACAUUUUUAUGGAUCAAAAUUUAUAAUAAUGUAUAUUAGAAUUUUUUUUGUAUAUUAUUUAAAAUCUUGUGCUAUAUAUUUUAUAUUCUUCAACAUUUAUCAAUUUACAUUUGGCUAUUAUUUAUAAGAAAAUAUAUGUAAAAUACCACAUAUAUAUAUAUAUAUGUUAAUUUAUAUUUUAUUUAUAUAUUAUAUAAAUAAUUCUUUUUAAAUUUAGGUAUUUUAUGGUUGUUUAAUUUUCUAAAACGAUAAUAAAUACUAAAUGUUAAAAUUAUGUAGUUUCUUAGUGACAUUAAAUGUAAUUAAAUAAUUGUUUUAGCUUAGGAUCAAUUAAAGAAAUUAUUUAUUAAAUUAGAAAAAGAUAAAACAUAUUUAAAUAUAGGUUCAAUAAUUAUUUAGUGGCAUUCUAAAGUAAAUAAGUUGCAAAACUAAUGGGCAUUUCUAUUUUGUAUUUCUCUUUUAAUAAUAUAUAUAGAUAUAGAUGAUACCAUGUUAAAUGUUACGGGAUGAACACUAUUUGCAUAAUUAUCAUUGAGUUAAAGCUCUCUAAUCACAUGAAAAUACAUAAAGACAUCAUGGAGAUCUAGGAUCGGAGCAUCUCCUUCAUUAUAAAUUUGUAAUUGGUAUAAGAUAGUAAUUAGAGUUAUUUAACUUUUUUUUUACAUCUAUUAGAGUUAUUUAACUUGAAAUUAAUUACUCAUAGUAUCUAAAUGUGAUAUUUCCAUAAUGAGGAAAAAGGCAACUAGCAAAGUAACACUAGAACUUUCAACAGAAAACAACGUAUUAUAGUAUAAAAGCAAGCAAUUACAUUGCAAGUUGUUACCAAAGUAUCUAUCUUAUUAUAAAAAUUUUGGUUCUUCAAAGUUGCUAAUUAACAUGACGGUGACACAUGUCAAUUAAAAAUUUAAGAUGAUGACAUGUGUUAAAAUCUAUCAUAAUUAAUAAUAUCUUAUUAUAUAAAGCUUGGUUUUUCAAAGUUGUUAAUUAACAUGACGAUGACACAUGUCAAUUAAAAAUUUAAGAUGAUGACAUGUGUUAAAAUCUAUCAUAAUUAAGAAUAUAAAUAUAAAAAGAGAAUAACACAAAAGAAUUAUUUAAUAGUAAUUUUCGUUUUUUAAAUACUAAACAAAAAUAAUAAUAGAAAAAAAAUUAUUUGAUGGUUUUUAGUUGACAAUAAUUUUCUUUUUCUAAUUUUUUUUUUCUUUUUACAAUUCCUAAACAAAAAAUAUGUAUAAUAAUUUACUUAAUACUAAUUUUUGUUUUGUAAAAUCGUUUUUUAAAAAUACUAAAUAAAGAUAACAGCAAAAGAUUAUUUGAUAGUUUUUUUAGUUGACAAUAAUUUCAUUUUUAUAAUUUUUUUCAUUUUCACAAUUCCUAAAAGAAAAUAUGUAUAAUAAUUUACUUAAUACUAAUUUUCGUUUUCUAAAAUAAAAAAAUAUAAUUGUAAAAAAGAAAAAAAAUUUAUAAAAAUGAAAUUAUUGUCAACUAAAAAACUAUCAAAUAAUCUUUUGCAGUUAUCUUUAUUUAGUGUUUUAUUAUAUAAAGUUUGUUUCUUCAAAGUUGUUAAUUAACAUGAUCGCGACACAUAACAAUUAUAUAUUUAAGAUUGUGACAUGUGUUAAUCUAUCUCAUAAUUAAAAAUAGAUAUACUAAGAUAUUAACAAAAACGAAUUUUAUCAUAAAUAUUAUUAUAUAUAUUAUUUAAUUGUAAUUUUCUUUUUUUUUAAAUCCUAAUCAAAAGAUAAUUGGAAAAUAUUAUUUGAUAAUAAUUAUCCUUCUAAUAUUGCGACAUGUGUUUAAAUAUAUUAAAGGUUAAAAAUAUAUAUAAGAUAAUAAGAACAAAUUUUGAAUAAACUACUUUUAAAAAUUAUUUAGUAGUAAAAAUGAUUUUUUAAAAAUAUUUAGUAGUAAUGUUUUUAGAAAUUUCUUUUUUCAAAAUCCAAAGAAAUAGAUCUGAAAACAAUUUAUUUAAUAUAAUUUUUAUUUUCUAAAAUUUUAAUGAAAAUAUAAUUAUAAAAUAUUAUAUUGAGCUUGGUUCUUCAAAAUUAGUAAUUAACAUGAUUGUGACACAUGGUAGUUAUAUAUUUAAAAAUGUGACAUAUGUUAAACUAUAUCACAAUCAAAAAUAUAUAUACUAAAAUAAUAAAAACGAUUUUUCUUAAAAAUUAAUUAUAAAUAUUAUUUAAGAGUCUUAUUAUUAUUACUUUUAUUAUUGUUAUUAUUAUUUUUCAUUAUAAUGUUUGUUUUAAAAGAUAGUAAAGAUAGAUAAUUAUAAAAGAUUAACAUUCACUUUUAAGAAAAAAAUAUUAAACAAAAACGAAUUGUAAAAUCCUACAAGUACAAUAAAUUAUUAAUAUGAAGAAAAAACUAACUUUAAAAUAAUUAAUAUUACUUUUUCAAAAACAAAAUUAAAAAAAAUUGUAAAAGUACUUUUAUUAUUUUAUUAUAAGCAAAUAACUUUCCUUUUUAAUAGAUAAUUGUAUGUCAAACAAUUAUGACCAAAAAUAACUAUAAAUAUUUCACAUCUAUAUUUAGGUUUAAGCUUCCACAUAUUAUUUUUACGAAACACAAUAGUAUUUACAUGAAAAGUAUUACUUAUUAUUAUCUUUAUUACAUCUUAUGAUGCUAGCAUAACUUUUAAUUUUGUUAUUAUUGUCGUACAUGGGUAUCUGUGCAUAUAAUUAAUAUGUGUGUGUAUGUAUAAGACAAAAUAUAUAAAUAAUUAAACACAAUUUUUCUAUUAAAAAUAAAAUAUUUGUAUAAAAAUUUUAACGAAAUAAAAUAAUUAAUUUUCUUUUAAAAAGUCUAAAUAAAAUUAAAAAGUGAAUUUAAUCUUAUUUUUCUUAUAAUUAACUAAUUUUACUUUUUAAUAAUUUUGUGUUAAAAAAUAUAAACCAAAAUUAACUUCAAAUAUUUCACGUGAUAUAAUUGUGAUAAGUGUCAAUUAAAAAAUUAGAUUGUGAACGUGUCAGUAAACCUCCAUUAUGUCAAAAUAACUUCUUCUUUUCCUAAAAUCUUAAAUAAAAGAGAUUUCUAAAAGAAAUUUUUUUUCUAAACUUAACCAAUUAAGAAUUUUUUUUUUUUUUUAAAUCGUGAUUAGAGAGAAUUGUAAAAUUUUAUUUAAUAGUAAUUUUUACUUCAAAGAUUUAAUGAUAAACAUGAAACUAACAAUUAUUCAAUUUUGUUACAAAAAAAAAAAAAAAGCAAUUAUUCAAUUUACAAGAAAAAUUGUAAAAAUAUUAAUGAUAUUGAAUUUUUUUUUUUUUUUGAAAAUUGCAACUUUUAAAUAUAGUUAAUAUUAACUGAAAAUAGUUAUUUGAUAGAAUUGUUUUUUUUAAAUCCUAGAUAAAAUAUAAUAGUAAAAGAUUAUGUAAUAUUAAUUUCCUUUUUUAAAAUCUUACAAAACUGUAAAAGAAUAUUGAUAUUUGUUUUCCUUUUAUAUAAAAAAAAAAUCAUAAACAAAAAAAAAAUUGUAUAAUAUUUUUUUAAGUCCUAACCAAAAAAUAAUUGUAAAACGUUAUUUGAUAUUAUGUUUAAGAGAGUGUUUGAUGAUGAACAUGAUACUAAAAUUAUUUAAUUAUCAAAAGAAGUGUAAAAUUAGUAUUGAUACGAAUUGUAAAAUAGCAAUUUUAAAAAUAUUUAUUAAUAACUAAAAAUAAUUAUUUGAUAGCAAUAUAGUUUUUUUAUGAAAUUUUAAAUACAAAAUAAUUGUAAUAGGUUAUAUGACAGUAAUUUAUCUUUUCUAAAAUUUUAAACAAAAUUGUAAAAGAGUAUUUAAUAUUUUUUUCUUAUUUUUUAAUUGUAAAGAAAAAGAAGAUUUAUAAAAUAGAAUGUUUUAUUUUUUUAAAAAUCCUAGCAAAAUAAAAUUUUAAAGACUUAUUUAGUAAAACAUUAAAUUAAUACAUAAGAACAUGUAUAAUGUUGUCAUUGAUUUGAUUGGUGCAUUUAACUUUCAUUUCGUUUUUACUUUUCAUUUCUUAUUUCAGAUUGUAUUCAGUUUAAAUGUUUAUAUAUAGUAUUUUCUCUAAUCCUUAGUAUAAAGUUUUAACAACUCAUCUAUGGAUCAUGAUUAUAAAAUACAAAUAUUAACUUGAACUUAUGUGUGAAAAUAUUUUAAUUAUAAAAUAAAUCUCAAACAACAUAUGCAAAAAACAAUUAUAAUACUAUAAUAAAAUGAUUUAUUAUUUUAUGGUUCUUAUUAAAUUAAAACAUCAAACAAAAACUCGUUGCAACGCAACGGGCUCAUAUCUUGUUAAUAAUAAACUAGGGAAAAAAAUAGGAAGCGAAAGAAAUUGAUUUUUAUUGGGGCAACUUGACAAAUACUUUAGAAUAUGUGUCAACCUGUGAUUAGUUUAAUUUUUUUGAUAAAAAAAAUGAAUAAAUAGGAAGAGAAGGAAAUUAAUUUUUAUUGGGCCAACUUGAAAAAUACUUUAGAAUAUGUGUCAACAUGUGAUUAGUUUAAUAUUUUAUAUAUAAUUUAAAAUUUAACUAGUGCUACAAUUAGAUUAAACUAUUAGUAUUUUUGUCCAAGUACGUAGAUAAUAAUAGAACUAGGGAAAAAGUGAAGAAAAAAUAGGAAGAAAAAGAAAUGAAGUUUUAUUUGAGAAACCUAAAAAAGAGAAAAUUGAAUACUUUUACAAUAUGUAUCAACCUAUGAUUAGUUAUUUAAAUCAUUGAAACUUUAACUAAUAAUAGAGUUAUAUUAAACUAUUAGUAUUUUUGCCUAUGAGAUAUUUUGGUAGGUCUCUUAGCAGUGGACGUGCAAUAAUAGAGAACGUCUUGGUCUUUGUGUCCUACAAAACCAAAUGACAAAAACAAAGACGUUGUGAUGCUAAAUGAGUUGGUACAUUGACUUAGUCUAUAGUUAAAUAAUACUAGUAUAGAGGUUGGGCAGUCAAGAGAACAUCUCAACACUAGAGUUUGGAGGAAGAUAAACAAAUUUAGAGAGAGGUCGAAGAUGAAGGUGCAGCAUCUGAUCUUGGUGGCUACUUUCUUCUACCAUGCAUAUACGGAGCUGGUCAAUGGGCAACCUCGCAAGGACUGCCAAACUAGUUGUGGCCACGUCACAAUUGAGUACCCUUUUGGCACUUCUCCAGGUUGUUACUAUGCCGACGAUCCUAGUUUCAAUAUCACCUGUAACGAGAGAGAAGAGUUGAUCUUUGGUGGUAACAAAGUAAUCAACAUUUCUCACACGGAG